GAAAUGCGAAACUAAAUGUGAAUUGCAUCUCUAGUGAAUCAUCAUGUCUUUGAACGCACUUUGCACCCAAAGAUUUAUCUUAGGGUAUACUUGUUUGAGUUUCGUUGUAAAAAGAUCUUAGAGAAAAAUCUUUAAGGAAUUGAAGGAAUCAAUAAAAUUUAUUUUUUGAUCCUUUGAAAUUUAUUAUUAUUUUUAAUAAAAUAAAAUAAAAUAAAAUAAGAAAUUUUUUAUUUCUAGAGAUAUAAAUAAAUUUUUUUUUUUUCUCUGGGGAAAGUUUUAAUAAAACUUUAACUCUAAGGGAAAAAUAUAUAUAUAUAUAAUUCUUAAAAAAUAAAAAUUUCUAAUAUAAAUUUAGAACUCAAAUCAAGUAAGAUUACCCGCUGAACUUAAGCAUAUCAAUAAGCGGAG
rnacentral:misc_RNA from 1 species